GAUGAACGCUAGCUACAGGCUUAACACAUGCAAGUCGAGGGGAAACGGCAUUGAGUGCUUGCACUCUUUGGACGUCGACCGGCGCACGGGUGAGUAACGCGUAUCCAACCUUCCCAUUACUGUGGGAUAACCUGCCGAAAGGCAGACUAAUACCGCAUAGUCUUCGAUGACGGCAUCAGAUUUGAAGUAAAGAUUUAUCGGUAAUGGAUGGGGAUGCGUCUGAUUAGCUUGUUGGCGGGGUAACGGCCCACCAAGGCUACGAUCAGUAGGGGUUCUGAGAGGAAGGUCCCCCACAUUGGAACUGAGACACGGUCCAAACUCCUACGGGAGGCAGCAGUGAGGAAUAUUGGUCAAUGGACGGAAGUCUGAACCAGCCAAGUAGCGUGCAGGAUGACGGCCCUAUGGGUUGUAAACUGCUUUUGUAUGGGGAUAAAGUUAGGGACGUGUCCCUAUUUGCAGGUACCAUACG
rnacentral:rRNA from 1 species